GAGAGUUUGAUCCUGGCUCAGGACGAACGUUGGCGACGUGCCUAACACAUGCAAGUCGAGCGGUGAAAAGCGGACUUAAUCUUCGGAAAGAGGAAACUUGGAACAGCGGCGGACGGGUGAGUAAUACAUGAGCAACCUGCCUUGGACAGAGGGAUAGCCGUGGGAAACUGCGAUUAAUACCUCAUAAGACCCCACUAUCGCAUGAUAGAGAGGUUAAAGAUUCAUCGGUCCAAGAUGGGCUCAUGACCCAUUAGCUAGUUGGUGAGAUAACAGCCCACCAAGGCGACGAUGGGUAGCCGGCUUGAGAGAGUGACCGGCCACAUUGGAACUGAGACACGGUCCAGACUCCUACGGGAGGCAGCAGUGGGGAAUAUUGCACAAUGGAGGAAACUCUGAUGCAGCGACGUCGCGUGAGCGAAGAAGGUUUUCGAAUCGUAAAGCUCUGUCCUAUGGGAAGAAGAAAGACGGUACCAUAGAAGAAAGCCCCGGCUAACUACGUGCCAGCAGCCGCGGUAAUACGUAGGGUGCGAGCGUUGUCCGGAAUUACUGGGCGUAAAGGGCUCGUAGGUGGUUUGUCGCGUCGUCUGUGAAAUUCCGGGGCUUAACUCCGGGCGUGCAGGCGAUACGGGCAUAACUUGAGUACUGUAGGGGUAACUGGAAUUCCUGGUGUAGCGGUGAAAUGCGCAGAUAUCAGGAGGAACACCGAUGGCGAAGGCAGGUUACUGGGCAGUUACUGACGCUGAGGAGCGAAAGCAUGGGUAGCGAACAGGAUUAGAUACCCUGGUAGUCCAUGCCGUAAACGGUGGGCGCUAGGUGUGAGGGUCUUUUCACGACUUUCGUGCCGUAGCUAACGCAUUAAGCGCCCCGCCUGGGGAGUACGGCCGCAAGGCUAAAACUCAAAGGAAUUGACGGGGGCCCGCACAAGCGGCGGAGCAUGUGGAUUAAUUCGAUGCAACGCGAAGAACCUUACCUGGGCUUGACAUACACUGGAUCGGGCUAGAGAUAGUCUUUCCCUUUGUGGCUGGUGUACAGGUGGUGCAUGGUUGCCGUCAGCUCGUGUCGUGAGAUGUUGGGUUAAGUCCCGCAACGAGCGCAACCCUUGUCUUAUGUUGCUAGCAUUUGGUUGGGGACUCAUGAGAGACUGCCGGGGUCAACUCGGAGGAAGGUGGGGAUGACGUCAAAUCAUCAUGCCCCUUAUGUCCAGGGCUUCACACAUGCUACAAUGGUCGGUACAACGCGCAGCGACACUGUGAGGUGGAGCGAAUCGCUGAAAGCCGGCCUUAGUUCGGAUUGGGGUCUGCAACUCGACCCCAUGAAGUCGGAGUCGCUAGUAAUCGCAGAUCAGCAACGCUGCGGUGAAUACGUUCCCGGGCCUUGUACACACCGCCCGUCACGUCAUGAAAGUUGGUAACACCCGAAGCCGGUGGCCCAAACUUGUUAGGGAGCCGUCGAAGGUGGGAUCGGCGAUUGGGACGAAGUCGUAACAAGGUACCCGUACCGGAAGGUGCGGUUGGAUCACCU
rnacentral:rRNA from 1 species